rnacentral:lncRNA from 10 species
CCUGACCUCAGUGUUCCACCCGCCUCUGCCUCCCAAAGUGCUGGGAUUACAGGCGUGAGGCACCGCGCCUGGCCGGGAUCAGGACUCUUAUACUGAUGCAGACCCACGGUGUAGACCAUGUGGGCAGACAAGGACAGGUAAUCAAUGCCAAGUGUACGGGGCACCCAUCCUGCAUGGGACUCAGGACAGUGGACUGAGGGUAGGGAGCACAGAUGAGCACAUGUUUGGGGCUGGUUCUGCAGGGCUCUCCUUCCUGCCUCCUCAGAGGCAUUAAAGCCAUUCGUUUGGACCAUCCUGGGCCCCCAUACUACAGGCAGAGUCUGUUUCAGUGCCUCCUGCCUCAGUUUUGUGUCACUUCCUCAUUUGUAACAUCUCCCACUACCACCUGCCCUCCAAACCAUCCCCAAAGCACUGCGAGUGUUCAGGCUACCCUUAGAGUUUUCCGUGGAUCAGAUUGGGUUAAGAAGGCAAUGCUUUCGGCCGGGCGCGGUGGCUCACGCCUGUAAUCCCAGCACUCUGGGAGGCCGAGAUGGGCGGAUCACGAGGUCAGGAGAUCGAGACCAUCCUGGCUAACCCGG